rnacentral:rRNA from 1 species
AUUGAACGCUGGCGGCAGGCCUAACACAUGCAAGUCGAGCGGAUGAAGGGAGCUUGCUCCUGGAUUCAGCGGCGGACGGGUGAGUAAUGCCUAGGAAUCUGCCUGGUAGUGGGGGAUAACGUCCGGAAACGGGCGCUAAUACCGCAUACGUCCUGAGGGAGAAAGUGGGGGGUCUUCGGACCUCACGCUAUCAGAUGAGCCUAGGUCGGAUUAGCUAGUUGGUGGGGUAAAGGCCUACCAAGCCGACGAUCCGUAACUGGUCUGAGAGGAUGAUCAGUCACACUGGAACGGAGACACGGACCAGACUCCUACGGGAGGCAGCAGUGGGGAAUAUUGGACAAUGGGCGAAAGCCUGAUCCAGCCAUGCCGCGUGUGUGAAGAAGGUCUUCGGAUUGUAAAGCACUUUAAGUUGGGAGGAAGGGCAGUAAGUUAAUACCUUGCGGUUUUGACGUUACCAACAGAAUAAGCACCGGCUAACUUCGUG